GUCAUUUUUGACCAAGUUGACCUUGUCUACCGUUCUGGUGCUUAUUAGAUUGACUUGUUCUAAUAGUACCAAGGAUGAUCCAAUCUCCAUUUUUUAGUCAUUCUCAUCGCGUUGAUUAGACUGUUUAGACUAGAGGUCUGCGGCUUGAUCUGGUUCUAUCUGCUUUCUUGAAUCCACUAUUCUCUGAUCGAAGAUCCGAUCUUCAGUACUUCAUCUGUUUUGGUUCAAUGAUCUAAAAACUACGGUCUCAUAAUCUUUUAACCGCCCCAUUCUACUAUAAGUAGGGCUUGCAUUUAUCUAUUCAUCUCAUACUAGAAAAUGAGCAGCAGGAUUGAGUUUGGUGGAAAAGUAUGCAAACGGUGGAGUUUUUGAGUGGUUCCAGUUGGAGUCAAUUCACAAGAGAUUGAAGAUGAUCAUUUCAAGUUUUCAGCUCAAAAUUCCCAGCCAAUCGUUCCCAGUUUAAGAACGAAGACAGGUUAGUGUGCUGACAGAACAGUUUCGAUAUCUGAAGGUUGCAUGAGAGAUAAGUACAUAAUUAAACCCUAAAUUGAGAAAACCUCCUUCCUAGCUUUUUGAAGUAGACGUUUCAAGCUUUCUAAGGACAUCUCAGUCAUUGAAAUCUAUGGACUUUUGGUCUACUAAACAUAUGGAGGCAGGGCACUUUCUGUUUGCCCAUUUAAAUUAUAAGUCAAUUUUAAUUGACAUUUAUUUUGUGUCUCUUGAUCUGAUCCGGAGUGUGGAUGAUUGGAGUCUCUUUUAAGUAUGCAUUAGGGGGAUUUAAAUAGGAGGGUGAUAAUAAUAAAAGAUGGGGGCUGUUUUCCAGAGGAGGAGAUUAGAGAACUCAGGAAGAAUUCUUGUAAAAAAGGGUUGUUCUCUUUCUUUGAUUCUUCAUGGAUAAUUCCUUAUGUAUUCAGACAAGUAUGUAUAACUAAUUUCCUAUUGAUAGAGUGAGGUCCUGAGCCUCAACAUGAUCACA